rnacentral:lncRNA from 1 species
CUUGGGAGCCGGGCCACGGACCAGAGGAGACGGAGGGCAGGAAGCCAAAGAGACGCCCAGGCACACCCUCCGCAAAGGCCGAGUCCGAGUGGUCGGAGAGGUUGACCGCAGGAGGGCAGUCUUCUGAACGAAAACGGAAACCUUGGAGCAGAGGACCAAGGAGGAACCCAGAGGCCGGGAAGCCCAUAGAAAAUUACUGAAAGGAGAGCGAACCCGGCCUAGACACAAAUCGAAACUGUACAGAGAUAGUCGCUUGGGGGAACCCGGCAACCUACCCCAUAUCUUUGGGAAGAAUUCCAGAGUGGAGGGGCCUGCUCCAUCUCCAGAAUGGCAUCUCUGGGAAAGGCUGCAUUUAGAAGCAAACUCAAAGUGCAAAUUAUAAUGGCCCAAGACUUACCCAACUCUCUAAGAAAUCAGUUUCAGAAGUCUGCCCUCUCCUUCCCUGGAUCUGCUUCACCCCCAGGAGGUACACCUGGGAAGAUGCAAGAUUCUGGAAGGGGUACCCUCAGCCUCAGAUCUCAGCCCCAAAACCAAAAGCUGUGGAGAACUUGAAGAUUCCGGGCUCCUCCCCUGCAUCGCCACCCCAAGAAAAGCAAAGGAUAUACUUCCAGUCACCAGAAAACAACUGGCCCAGGGAAGGGUCCACCUCACUGCUUUCAACUCUUCACUCAAGGAUUGGGUGAGCAUCUAUUAUGUGUAGAGGUUACUCUACACACCCAAAAAAGAUGUGAAUGGAAUGCAAUAAAGUUGGGAACCCAUGGCAAUGUGAAAUGUGCUCUGCAACUCCAGGCCCCUGAACCCCAACCCCUCAAGCCCUUCAACAGGAACUUCAACACUCCCUUGGCUUCCAAGGCCUGACACCUGGCACUGUCAUUUCACACCCAGCACAGGCCCAAACCAAGGUGAAUUUUUCAAGAAAGGCAGACUGAUCGGUCAUUCCCACUCUCACAAUAAUCAAUCCUGCAAAAACAACAGGAAAGAAACCCAAGGAAAGAGCACAGAAGCAGGGUUCCCCUACAUGCACAAACACACCUGCAAACACAAAUAAGCACAUGUGCGCACACUGUGAACUCACAAACAUCCAAGUAUGCAUCUAAUUACAGAGACAUGAACAUCCAAUCGCAUAAUGUUCACAUAAUGCAGAAAUACACAAAACCCUGUGGGCACCCAGAUGUACCAGUAUUCAUCUACACAUGAUCACAUAUGCACCCGAGUUUUUGGGGACACCUACAUAUCUGGUCAUAUGAAUAUAGCUGCAUACGUAC